rnacentral:lncRNA from 1 species
UCUUGGUGCUGGAGAACAGAACUGGCCAGAGUCCAUCCUGUCUCCCACCGGCAUCCCAUUACGAAAUGAACACAGAAAAGGCAGGUCUGCAAUGCCAACAUCUAGUAUCUAUCCCAAAGACCAGGGAGAAAGGAAGGAAAGAUUCUGGUUCUGUCCUCUUCCCCAAGGCAAGGCUGGCUGCCCUACCAACAGAGGCAAAGAGAAGAGUGUGCAAGGCUGGCUGCCCUCCCAACAGAGGCAAAGAGGAGUGUGUGUUGAAAUAUCCAUUGAAUCCCUGAGACAACUGGAUCCUGGCCCAUUGAAUCAUAAACUCAAAUCUCACAUCAUAACCCCAAAUGACCUGUUACUCACCAUGUGGCCCAGCUGUCUUCAAACUCACCAGCCUCCUGCCUUAGCCUUCUAAAUGCUUGGAUUACAGGCAUGACCCACCAUAACUGGCUUUGUUUUAGUUUCAGAGAAGAUGAAACUGAUGUGCGUCAAAAAGCUGGUAGUCUGUCAAGGAAAUGAGCUGAACAUGUCUGUGUACAGCUUUUGUGCCAUCCCUGGAUGAGCGAGCUGUCUGCCUCUAUGUUCUCCACAAAAUGGAAUAUAGCUGUACACCCAAGCCAAGUUAUGGAGGCUGGGAAGACCUAGAAUGUGGCAUCACUAUUUGGAAACCAUGCCGAUUACCGACCGAGCUCUCAAUGGAAAAAUGCAGUCGGCGUGAACCACGCACGAACACAGCAGAGAAAGAAGAAAACACACACCACGAGGAACCCUAAUAGGACAAUACAUUAUAAGUCACAGUGCUACGGAGAAACCCAGUAGCCACAUGGAAGCAGAGACCAUGCAUAUGCAUCUACUCCGCAGCUCUGUGAAUGUCAGCAGCUCCCACGGACUGGAGAUCCCGUGAGAUCCCGUGAGAUCUCACCCAUAGCCUCAUGGUACAUCCACUUGGUGUGCUGGGAGAGUCAGGAUGAGGACCUGAGAAGAACAGCAGCUUGAACCUGACUUCAUUUAACAGCCCACUGCCCUCUUGCCAAGAACCCAUCACAGACCUUCCCAGAAGAGAGGGAUGAGCCUCACCUAUGAAUAAGUCCUCAGAAACUCAAAUUUGAUUCUAAUGGAUUGUUUUCUCAGAAAGACUGAGCAUGUCCCCCCACAUCUCUGUCAUUUCCCACAGUAGUAACCUCUGCAGAUGCCACAUAGAAAACAAAACAAAACAAAAAAACAUGAGGUUGGUGGGCAGAUAGGCAGGGUAUAAACAAACAGCCUUGUAACCCAGAAGCUGUGUGAUAUACAGUAAACUUCACAACACUGAAAAGAUGUCCUAUCUGUUAAAAUGGGGUAAUAACAACUACCCGAAUGUUUAGGAAUAGAACUUCAAUAAAUGAUACAUUUUAUAGUACAGCAGACCAUCCUGUAAAGGUUUCAUCCUUCACUGUGGUGAUAAAUAUCCCAAACCACAUUGAAAAGCAUUGCAUCUACAUUUAUCUACACUGUAACUGUACUGUAAAUCAUGGGGGAGGGGAGAAUCAUAAAAACACCACCUGUCACCGUGUCAUUAAAGCAAGUUGGAAGUGAUACUUACAGAAACACAGCAAGAGCACCCCCAGUCACACAGUUCAAUCUCUUAGCAAGCGUUUUCUUUCUAGCCCAGUGGUUCUCAGUUUGGAAUUUUUGGCACUGCCUAGAGAUAGUUUUGUUGUUAAAACUGAGAAAAGAGCCGGGCGUGGUGGCACACGCCUUUAAUCCCAGCACUCAGGAGGCAGAGGCAGGUGGAUUUCUGAGUUUGAGGCCAGCCUGGUCUACAAAGUGAGUUCCAGGACAGCCAGAGCUAUACAGAGAAACCCUGCCUCGAAAAAACAAAACGAAACAAAAAAUUAAAACAAAAAAACAAAACAAAAACAAACAAACAAAAACCCAAAACUGAGAAAGUGGCAGAGUCAUGGUGGUACAAACCUUUAAUCUCAGUAGGAGGCAGAGGCAGGCCCAUUUCUGUACAGUUCAGUUCUACAGCCUGGUCUAUUAAGUGGAUUCCAGGGUAGACAGGGCCACACAGAGCAACCCAGUUUCCAAAAAACCAAACCAAACCAAACCAAACAAAACAAAACCAAGCCAACCAAACAAAUAAAAAAUUGAGAAAGUGCCUGAUAUCUUUCCUGUGAGGGACUGGCCCAGUGCUGAUCAUUCUGUGCUACAAAGCACAGAAAUAUUUCACCCUUCCCCACAUAAUGCCAUGCUUAAGGAAACCCAAUUUAGGCAAUUUUCAAUUAUUCAUCCAAAAAGUAUUUGUUGAGUAGCUAUCAUCUACGAGGUAAUUUUGUCUAGAUAAACCAAAAAGAAAAAUAUCCAUUAAGCUCAGGAUUCACAGAGUAGUAGAAAAGAAAAAUAACUAAAUGUAGGGAAAUGCUUUGAAAAGUAAGAAUUGGAAAGUCCCACUGUUUCUAGAAAUAAAUCAUCAAUCAGUGUUCACAGUCAUCAAUAACCAAAGAAGUGAUUAUUGUAACUUUUAUAACCAGCCAACGAUGCUAUGGCUAGAGGAGGAAUUGUAGCUGGAGCUGGUUUUAACCUGUUCCAGUUGACCAAUGGCAACUCAUGCCACUGAACAUGUCUUUAAAAUCCAGCCUGAACAUCAGUGGUCAGGCUGAUUUAUGCUGGGGAGUUUCUUUCUAAGACUGACAUCAAACCAGGAGUGCUUCUGUAGUCAGGUCAAAAAUGUUACUGCACCUAAGACUCAAAGUCAGGAAAGAAUGUGUGGCAACUGUUUUUGUGUGUUACAACUUUGCCUUCUGACCCUUCCAAAGUUUCUGAGCACCUUUUACUUUAAAACAAACCCCUGCAUGAGAUUGUUAACAAUGUUUCUUUCUCAGUCAUCUUGUAACUCAAGACCAGCAUCUCUAAACCUAUGAGUUGCAACCCUUUAAGCUGCCAAAGGACUCUUCCACAGGGGCCACAUUUCAUUUCCUCUAUAUCAGAUAUUUAUAUUAUAAUCCAUAAUAAUAGCAAAAUUGCAGUUAUGAAAUAACAAUGAAAAUAAUUUUAUAAUCGGGGAUUAUCACAACAUGAGGAACUGUAUUUAAAGGGACAGCAUCAGGAAGGUUGAGAGCCACUGCUCAAGACCAAGAAAGGGUCCCCUCCAUAGCACACCAUCCUUUCGUACCAAUCUGGUGCAUGCUAAUGCCCUCCAGAAUGCAUCAUAGCUGAGAUCAGCUGGAAGUCGCAGUUCAUGAAAGAUGAGCCACUCCCAUCCUGCCUUAAACAUGGAUAGAGGGAGGGUAGGCUGGUAUUUAGGGUUAGAGCUGAGAUGGUUAAAUGUUUUACCUCUAGUUAAGGUGAAAGCAUGGACUCUGUGCUCUGGAAGGAAGAAGAAAGAUUCAGAGUUGACACUAUCUUGAUGAGAUAUUUUCAGAGAGAAUGGAUUGAGAUGAGCCAAAGAAUGGAGGGCCACUUGGUGCUAGCACCAGCCAUGGGUUAGAUACAGGAGGAAGGAAGAUGUGGAGUUGAGGUAAGAUAGAUAAUGUUUUCAAGUCUCUUGAGUUUGAGAGUCUUCAGGACAAAAUAGAGAGCUAAUGUGAGAAGGUAAUAUUGAAAUCCAACUUAAAGCUGAAACGGUAGGUCAGGAGUUAAGAGGAAUUAUGCACUUACAGAGGUCCAACACCAGUGUCAGAGCACUCAAACACUCUGCAAGUCCAGUGUCAGAGCACUCAAACACUCUGCAAGUCCAGUGUCAGAGCACUCAAACACUCUGCAAGUCCAGUCCAGACGAUCCCUUUUCUGGCCUCCAGGGGAACAGCACUCACGUGCACCCGCUUCCACACUGACACAUGGGUAUACACAUAAUGAAAAGUUAACUGAAAAAAAAAGUAACACUUUGAUGACAUAAGAGUCUAAAGUAGUUAUGGUACAGUAUAAGAACAAACAAUAAGCAUCAUACUUAGCUAGCUUUUAUUUAUUGUGCAUAUUUAACUUGUAUAAACAGUGGUCUACUUCAUUUCACAGUUGGAGUUUCUUAUAGGAGAUUAUCUCAUGGGCAUAUUUCUAAACCCCAAUCUCUCUCUCUUUCUCUCUCUCUCUCUCUCUCUCUCUCUCUCUCUCUCUCUCUCUCUCUCAUAUAUUUAUAUUGUAUGUGUAUGUAUUGUCUGAGCUCAUCUGUGCAAUAUUCAUCUAUACAAUGGUCUAUUAAUACUUCUUGUAUUGCAUAGUUUUGUGGCACUUAAAAAAGUUAUACAGCAAUCUGAAGCCUGAGUUAUUAAUAUGAAUACACAUACACACAAAUACACACAUGUGUGCUUUUGAACACACAUAUAUAUGUGUCUGUUAAUCUUGAAUUCCCACUGAUUUGAGGGGUAUGGUGGUUUCAAUAGGUAUGGCCCUCACAAACUCGUGUGUUUGAAUGCUUGGCUCAUAGGGAGUGACACUAUUAGGAGGUGUUUCCUUGCUGGAGUAGGUGUGGCCUUGUUGGAAGAAGUGUGUUGCUGUGGGGAUGAACUUUGAGGUCUCCUAUGCUCAAGCAACACCCAGAGUGAUACACAGUCUCUUUCUGCUGCCUGUGCAUCAAGAUGUAGCACUCUCAGCUCCUUCUCCAGCAUCAUAUCUGCCUGUUUGCCACCAUGUUUCUAGUCAUGACAAUAAUGGACUAAACUUCUGAACCUGUAAGCUAGCCCUAGUUAAAUGGUUUCCUUUAUAAGAGUUGCCUUAGUCAUGGUGUCUCUUCACAUCAGUAGAAACCCUAACUAAGACAAGGUAAAAUCCAAAGAUGCUUCUAUUUAGAUAUCUAACCUUAGAAGGUGCCACUGGAGUCUGUGACUCCUGAGAAACUUUGAGAAUGUCAACAUAUAUCUCUUACCUGUGUUUCUUGUGCAACAAGAUUGUUUCUCCUGAGCCUUAUUGCACAUUUAGAAAGUGCAACUCUAUAGAUAAUUAUGUGUCUGUGAUACUCAUAAAGUCAUCUUAAGGACUCAACAAAAGGUUGCAUGGACUUCUUUUGCUUGAUCACAAACACAGGUACAUUAUUAAGUAUUAGUCCAAAGUCACAUUUCUACUGUGCUUUAAUCCAGGUGAAUACUAUAAGUAGCAUAUGCCUAGACUCAGGCUAGGUCUGAGCUGUGUGAGCUCAUCUGUGCAACACUCAUCUAUACAAUGGACUACUAAUACUUGUAUCUCGUGGUUUUGUGGUGCUUAAAAGAGUUAUACAAAAAUCUGAAGCCUGCGUGAUUGACACAAUUUAGCUACAUAUUGUUACUGUUACUGCUUACUUUUAACUUUUCAAUGCUGCAUUUUACUCCAAGUGGUCCCAAUAUAACUGCUGGAGACUGGUAAAUGAUAUGAUGAUGGUGGGCAAAGUUAGCAACAGCAGCCAUUUAUUGAGGACCUGCGAUAUUCUAGUAAUACUUCCAGGUGCCUUUUUGAACAAGACAUUUGAAGUCUAAGAGAAACACUGUGUGCUAACUGUCUGCACUUCCUUGCUGACCUCAUUCUGGACUCUGUCUUUAUAGCUUCAACAAACUGGUUUUCCAUCCAUCACCAGUGAUCUGAUUGACACUAAAUCGAAUGGGGAUUUACAUCCUAAUUUGCCUUAAUCUUCAAUGGAGCCAACCCAUAUUUUUUUUUUCAGUUACACAGAGAAAAACUACACACUUGAAAAAUAUUUGCACAGAGUCUGUAUAAGAAUGGAACUAUGGUAGUGAUGCAGACCUUGAAUCCCAGCACUUGAGAGGCAAAGGCAAAUGCAAAUGGAUCCACAGAGUGAGUUGUAGGACAAGCAGGGCUACACAGAGAAAAAAACACAUAAACAAGCAAAAAGAAUACACCUUCUACCAAUCAAAAUUGGUUGGAGGAGAGACAUGGGAAUAGUUGAGUUGCUACCCCUCACUGCUGAGAUACUUGAUACGGAUAGAUGCCUUCUAUUGUGUACCCCACUGGUGAGCCCACUGGACUCCAGCUGGUAGUCCCAAUCCCGUGAUCACACAGAUGGCUCUGGUUAACAGUGGAUCCUAAACAAAACCAAAUGAUUUUUUUUCCUGAUAUUUGUAUUUACAUGGUACAUAUUAAAGCAGUGCCCACAUAGCUGUAAAUACUAGAAACAAUAAAACAUUAAGAAUGAAAAUAUAUCACUUACAUAUAUUAACAUGAAUAUAUAUACAUAUACAUAUAUAUAUGUAUAUAUAUUCAUGUUAAUAUAUACAUAUAUAUAUAUAUAUAUAUACACACACACACAUGGUUAUAUAAUAUAACAAAGUCUUGUUAUAAAAUUCAACACAAGUCAUAGUAAGGAUUUGGAUUUCUUUUAAAAACACAGAAAUGUUAUGGGAAUACAUUUUUGCUUCAAUUCCAGUUGUGGGAUGUGGGGUUGCUUUAGAUUGUUCACAGCAGGUGACUGAUUUGCCUCAUGCUCUGCCAGGUGUGGGGAGGGGGUCUGUGGUUUUUCCAGUUGCAGAUAGUGUGAGAUGGUUAGCAUUCUGGGGACUCUUGAAAGGGUAUAUAAAUGUGAGAGCUCUGGCGUGAGUGCUGUUCUUCCUGUUACUCUUCUGUGGCUGUUCCUCCUCCUGCAGCUGCUGCUGCUGGUUGCUGGUUGCUGGUUGCUGGUUGCUGGUUGCUGGUUGCUGGUUGCUGGUUGCCAGGGAUGUUUGUUGUGGUUUGUCAAGGGGUCAUGCACAAAGAGAAGAGAAGAAGAAAUUUGAUGUCCUGGCUGAGAAGAUCAAACUUGCCCCAAAGAACUCUGAUCAGCAGGAAGUCGUCUACUGGCAUUGACCCCCUCUCCCCCCCCCCCCCCAGCCUUCUCUCUCUCUCCUCUCUAGUGUUGGAGGUUGGAAGGAUAGAAUAGGGCUGGAUAAGGGCUGUAGAAAAAGGAACCCACAAAGUAGCCAAAACAAGGGUUUUAUUACCCAGGUGGAUAAGUUAUGUAUCUGGCACUGUAAUUUGUUAAUGAGAGAAAAUAGCUUGGGAUGGGGGUCAGAGGAGCUUCUGAACAGCCAACGUUUGGCUUGAUGUUUUGUUUUGUUUUGUUUUUUGUUUUGGAUGACUGUGGAAAUCAAAUCUGAAUAGUUUAUCUUAAAUGUUGACUUCCAUAUGACACAGCUGACUGGGAAGAUACUGCAUGUUUUACAAACUUCUAUAGUCUUUGCGUUACCUCUUCCAUUGUGUCCCCUGAACCCUGGGCGUAGUAGAAGUUGUGUUAUAGAUGCCCCUCUUUGGGGAUAAGCACUGCGCAGUUACUCACUCUGUAAAUUUUGACUAGUUGUUGUUCUCCAUCUGCUGCAAAAGGAAGUUUUUCUAAUGAGGGAUGAGAACUGCUCUAAUGUAUGGAUAUGAGGAUAAGGUUUUAGAAAGCAGCAGGGUACCAGAUCAACUAUAUACUAUAUAGUAAAAUGGAAAUAUAAGGCUCUCCUUGUGGUGUUGAUCUCUCCAGUCAUGAGUUGUAUAGUUGACUAUAUUAUAGCCAACUCGACAGUGUUGAGCCCAGACUGACAGCUUUUGGUUACCCUUUCUGCACUCCAUCUCUGCAACAUAUUAUUGGCAAUAUAUUGCACCAGUUGGCCCAUCUUGCUAAGCCAGCUGUUACUGUAGCCUGCAGGGUUUAUAACUGUCUAGAACUGCUGAGAGCUUUUCUCCCCAUACCCUGACAUUGAAAGUUGGCCACCACAGAGCAGACUUCCAGGUCAGUACAUGUUAGAUUUUUUCCCAAGUCUUGUGACUAACUGUAUGUCUUCCACAAUAAGGUUGGGCUUACCCUCAAGUUUGGCAGGAAACCAGGGGCAAUGGCAAUGUCUCUUAGACCCCUCUGACCAAGAGUUUGAAUGGAGUUAUCCUACCCUUUGAACUGGGAUUUUUGGUUGAUCAUCUAUGUUUUCGGGGGGGGGGGGUGUUUCCCAUAUUCAGUGGGAUAAUUCCAAUUAAACUAUUAUUAUAUAUGUAUGGUAUAAAAGUUUAAGUAUAGAAUUCGUGAAGAGUAGGUUUCCCUGUUGAAGUUUUAAACAUCCUUAGUAUUAUUUAUCUCUCUCCAGUCCUCUCUUCCUGCUUUGCCCUCUUGUCUCCCUCUCCUGUUCCAUCUCCCCCACAAUGCAUUGUUCCCAUUUCCCCCUUCAUACCACCUGAGUUACUCUAUCCCCCUCUCUAGAGCUCUUUUCUCUCCCUCCUUGAAAUACUGACUUCUGCACACGAUAGGGAUGUUGUGACCAAAACUCUCAGCAUCUGUGGCUGCCCAAGAGCACACCAGCCAACCUUCCAGGGUGUUUGGGGCAGGGUUCACAAGGCUACACUCCUAGCUGUAGAAUUCAACAUGAAUUUGAGAGGGGGCCAUGCGGAGGAUGCAGGAGGAGUUGGGAGGGGGAGGAGGAGCAGAUCCUAUCAAACGUCAUUGUGCUCCUUGUGAAAUUCUCAAAAAAAAAAAAUUAAAUUUGGAAAGUAGAAAGAGAAUGACUUGCUUCGUUUCAUUUUAAUUCCAGCUGAUGACAGUACUUAGCGCAAUGAAAGUUUGGCUAAUAUGUAUGCUAAUGAGAGUGUCUUAUGUACUGUGUUUAUCUUUGUUUAUGAGUAUGUGAAAAAAGGUAUAUCGUCUGCAUUUAUAGGUUCAAUAUAGUGCAUUAGUUAGCUGUAGCUUAGUAAACUUAUUCAUAGUAAUUUAUAUCCUAAUUUAGUUUUUAGAUACUUAAUCUGUCAUAAAGUCAGAGCAUUUAUAUUCUCUUAUUCAGGAGGAGGUGUUUACAUCUCUCGGUGCAGGUCCUCUGUGGCCUUUCUAUUUUUUUCUCCAUGUUUAGCCACCAUUGGCUUUUACUUCCCUUUUCAGCCUCUUGCUGAUUGGAAGUUAUAAAUCAUCUUUCCCUUUUAUUUAUUUUUCAAUUUUAAUAACUACACAUAAUUAGUUAUGAAACUACUCAUACUAUAACCUCUGUACAACUACAUAUUAUACCACAGGUGAAAUGCUAUAUAUUCCAAAAUCAGAAAUAAUUUCUGCUCAGGGUUUACAAAACCAAAAGCAAGAUGCUGCUCUCCAGGCUGGGCUUUUAUACGGGGAGUUAAAGGGAAGACGGACUGGCUGAUUAAGUACAAGGUCAUGAAUGUUUCCUGGAAGAUAUAAAUGUCUUUUCAAGCUGCAGUUAUGUGCUGCUUCUUCCUUUGUUAAUAGUAAUGUCAGCGCAGGGAUGGAUCCCAACCCUGCUGAUUGCAGGGCGGCACCUUUCCUGCCAUUUCUGCCUCUGGUUUCCAAUAUACAUUUUAAAAAGCCAGAUUAAGUGUCACUGAAAACAUCAAGGUAUAUCUCCAAAUAUUUUAAGCUUAUUGCAUUUUAUACCCAUAUCUUAAAUAUUCAAGUAAUUAAAUAUUAGAGAUUCUCAUAUACACAUUGAAGCUGCUGCACACAUGGAUUUGGCCUCCUCUCAAGCAAUAUAUCUACUUUGUUCAUGGAUAAAUUGCUCAUAAAUACACAAUCAUUGCUAUAAAAAUCCUAAUAGAAAAUAAAAUGAAUCAUAUUCCAUACUCUUGGUACAAAGAAGAGGCUUCAGGAAAUUUGGAAGUACCUGACAGGAGUGUGGGGAGGAAAACAGAGAAAGAAAGAGUUGAACACGAGCAAAAAUAGAAUAUAUUUCUUGUAAAAAUAAACUCUGUCCAUCCUAUAGAAAGAAAAAAAAAGAGAAGUAGAAAUAGUCACUCAUUUUACAUAAAGUAUUCAAGCCAUGAAGAAAAGAUCAUGAGUCAUAUCACAAUUCCUCAUGCUAGAUCACACACUUCUUCUCUUGUCAUAAAGGGUCCAAAGACGGGCAGACUAGGAAUGGCCCAUCCUCUUAAAACCAUGAGUCUUGAAGAUCAUCCAAUUCCGGACAGAGUAUCCAAGACACCAUGUUAAUAUGUAACAAUCCAAGUGGUUAUCAGUAUGCUAAGAGCCAAAGACUUUUAAGCACAACCAUUUCAGUGUUUUUCUAUUCAUAAAAAGCUUGAAAUCUCAAAUAGAUUUUAAAUACACGUUGGUUUUCUAAAUGUGACAUCUACUGCAUGGACCACAACCAAAAGUAGUUGUCUAACACAGCCUGAAUUUGAUGGGUGACAGGAAAUACCAGAAGUUGUGUGUGGGGAGGAGGUGUUGGAUCGGUAAGGAAUGUGUAGGGUGCUGGGGGAGAGGGUGGAUACAUUCAAAUACAUUGUAUGAAACUCUCAGUUAAAAUGUUAUUUUUAUAAAAUACUGGCUGGAGGGUUAUUUUCUUUGAGUGAUUUUUCUACAGGUUCUCUAAUGGCAGGAUUGGGAGUAGCUGUAAUCCAUUAUUAUAUAAGCAAUGAAAUUCUAAUUUUUCAU